rnacentral:lncRNA from 1 species
AUUUUUAGUAGAGAUGGAUUUUCACCAUGAUGCCCAGGCUGGUCUGGAAAUCCUGACCUCAAUUGAUCCACCUGGCUCGGCCAGUGAAAGUGCUGGGAUUACAGGCGUGAGCCACUGCACCCUGCCCAGUUAGAGUUUUGACAGACGUGUAUACACCCAUGUACUCACCACCCUAUGCCGGAGUAGAACAUUUCUAUCACCCCACUCCUUCUCCUUAUGUUGGGCAGCAUUGGAGCAACUGCAGAAAUUUAAACUGAUACAUUUUAACUGCUUUAUCUAGGGGCCACAAGUGGCCUGAGACCCAGAGAAGAAUCUCAAUGUCACACUAACUUCUUGGUAAGAUGCUUCCAGUUGUCCUGGUAUCUGAAUGGCUUCUAGGAAUGCUCGUGUUACAAACUGCCUAAUUCACGCUGUGUCAUGAGGAAAUGGUGCAGGGACAGAGACUGACUGCAAAAGAGAUAUGUCCUACAAUUUUUGUCACCAAGAUGGAAGUGGGUAAUGGAGGAAAACAAAGGCACAGGGCCAGAAUCUCAUCUGUGGAAAAUCCUUAUGGAUCUUAUAGCUCAUAUGUCAAAUAAAAUUGAUACAGGUUCCCCAUAAAAAUGUGUAUUAUGUUACUGCAGUGAUUUUGAACCUAAAAAAAUGUUGUCAACUAUCAGUAAUAGAAAAACAGUAACAAUACAUUUCAAUCAACCACCCUAUAUGAAAAGCAGAAUCAUCUUUCUAUUCUCUGCAGAAAAUGACAUCACAUUGUUCAAGAUGAGUGUAUUUGUCUGUUCUCACACUGCUAUAUAGAAUUACCUGAGACUGGGUAAUUUUAAAAGAAAAGUGUUUUAAUUGCCUCAUGGUUCUGCAUUCUGUAUAGGAAGCAUGGCUGGGGAGGACUCAGGAAAUUACAAUCAUAGAAGAAGGAGAAGGGGAAGCAAGCACCUUGUUCACAUGGUAAAGCAUGAAAGAGAGUGUGAAGGGGGAAGUGCCACACACUUUUAAACAACAAGAUCUCAUGAGAACUCCAUCAUGAGACAACACCAAGGGGAUGGCACUAAACCAUCAGAAACCACCACCCCCAUGAUCCAGUCAUCACCCCCAUGAUCCAGUCACCACUUUUGGGGUCACCCCCAGGCCCCACCUCCAAUACUAGGGAUCACAAUUCAACUUGAGAUUUGGGUGGGGACACAGAGCCAAACCAUCUCAAAGGAACACUCAAAGAGGGCAACCAAAAUACAAAGAAAUAUUAUAGCGGUAUGACAGGCAGUUAAUUGAUAAAAAUAUUAUGCUAUUUUUCUGAAUUUUGUGGUGUUUGUGACAUUUGUGAGAUCUUUAAAAUGUAUAAUUUGUUGUGAUUUCUUUUUCUCAUGCAAAAUAAAAAUUAAUAAUAAUA